UACGGAGGAUGCGAGCGUUAUCCGGAUUUAUUGGGUUUAAAGGGUGCGUAGGCGGAGUGUCAAGUCAGCGGUAAAAUUUCGGGGCUCAACCCCGUCGUGCCGUUGAAACUGACGCCCUUGAGUGAGUGAGAAGUAAGCGGAAUGCGUGGUGUAGCGGUGAAAUGCAUAGAUAUCACGCAGAACGCCGAUUGCGAAGGCAGCUUACCGGCGCUCAACUGACGCUGAGGCACGAAAGUGCGGGUAUCGAGCAGG
rnacentral:rRNA from 1 species